AGAGUUUGAUCCUGGCUCAGAUUGAACGCUGGCGGCAUGCCUUACACAUGCAAGUCGAACGGCAGCGCGGGAGCAAUCCUGGCGGCGAGUGGCGAACGGGUGAGUAAUAUAUCGGAACGUGCCUUAGAGUGGGGGAUAACUAGUCGAAAGACUAGCUAAUACCGCAUACGACCUACGGGUGAAAGUGGGGGAUCGCAAGACCUCAUGCUCUUAGAGCGGCCGAUAUCUGAUUAGCUAGUUGGUGGGGUAAAAGCCUACCAAGGCGACGAUCAGUAGCUGGUCUGAGAGGACGACCAGCCACACUGGGACUGAGACACGGCCCAGACUCCUACGGGAGGCAGCAGUGGGGAAUUUUGGACAAUGGGGGCAACCCUGAUCCAGCAAUGCCGCGUGUGUGAAGAAGGCCUUCGGGUUGUAAAGCACUUUUGUUCGGAAAGAAGUCGCUCUGGCUAAUAUCCGGAGUGGAUGACGGUACCGAAGA
rnacentral:rRNA from 1 species